ACGGCGAGUGAACAGGGAAAAGCCCAGCACCGAAGCCUGUGGCCGUUUGGCCCCUAGGCAAUGUGGUGUUCAGGUUAGCUCGCGGGGAUGCUGCUCCACCCUAAGUCCUAUAAUGAGUAAGGUUACUCGGACGUGGCCCAAAGAGGGUGAAAGGCCCGUGGGGGUGGAGACUCAGAUUGGCCAGUGUUCCCCUGAGCAGACCUUGGAGUCGGGUUGUUUGUGAAUGCAGCCCAAAGUGGGUGGUAAACUCCAUCCAAGGCUAAAUACUAACACGAGUCCGAUAGCGAACAAGUACCGUGAGGGAAAGUUGAAAAGUACUUUGAAGAGAGAGUAAACAGUGCGUGAAACCGCUCAGAGGUAAACGGGUGGAGUUGAACUGCAAGCCCAGAGGAUUCAACUGGUGAGUCUGGCAUGAGCUUGGUCAUGUGGGUUGUGGCCCCGGGUCUGCUUAGCUGCAGGUCCUCGCCUUUGGUGGGGAUGCGCGUAUCACUUAUCAAGUGUUGUGCGCCCGGGUGAUUUCGAACCUGCUCGCCAGUGCACUUUCUCUGGGUGUUCACCACGACCGGCGUCGCCGUCUGGCUGUUGCGGUUGAACCGGCCUUGUAGGGUCCUUGUGAUCUUGCUUGGUCGGGAUGGCAGGUAGCCCGUUGUGUACUUCGGUGUGCUUCGGGUGUAAUCGCCGACUGCAUCGGUUCUGUGCGGUACGUCGGAGACGGCGGCUUUUUGUGCGUGCGGGCGUGCCUGUUGCGCUGGCGGCUCUGGGUCUGGUUACCUUGUUGCUUGUGAAUGCAAGCCAGGUGAUGGCUCGGGGUCGUUCGGUGUGCGGUUGCGUUCGUUGCACUUUAAAGGGCCUAUAGUCUGUGGUGUAGUGGUAGACUAUCCACCCGACCCGUCUUGAAACACGGACCAAGGAGAGUAACAUGUGCGCGAGUCAUUGGGCGUUACGAAACCCAAAGGCGCAGUGAAAGUAAAAGUUCGGCUUGUCCGGGCUGAGGUGAGAUCCUGUCGUUUCUCAUGCAUGGUACUACCAAGCUUCGAGCGGCAGGCGCAUCACCGGCCCGUCCCAUGACGUAGCGGCGGCCUUGUGCUUGCUCAUCGUCGGGGCGGAGCAUGAGCGUACAUGUUGAGACCCGAAAGAUGGUGAACUAUGCUUGCGCAGGUUGAAGCCAGAGGAAACUCUGGUGGAGGACCGCAGCGAUUCUGACGUGCAAAUCGAUCGUCAAACGUGAGUAUAGGGGCGAAAAGACUAAU
rnacentral:rRNA from 1 species